ACUGGGCAUGCGCUUUGUCACUGGCUCCCCUUGCCUCUUACCCUCCGGGUCUUCCAAGUGCAGCUCAAUAGCCCUGGCUAUGCCAUCAGCACAGCUCAUAAUACAACCGCCCUUGGCCAUAACCUUCUGGUGACAGGUUAUUCCCUUCAGCUGCUCCAUCACCUUGCUCGGGUCUACCCCGCUCCUGAACAGCACGGACACCAGCCUACCUAUAGCCUCGGUCU
rnacentral:rRNA from 1 species